ensembl:lncRNA
AGCUACCAUCAGGGGUGGGACCUCUCUCCUCCACUGUCCUUCACCAAUGUCAUUACCUUAAUCACUUUUCUGGGAGUCAUGUUGGUCCAGGCUUAGAUACAAUAGUCACAUUUUAAUGAUCCAGGACACAGUUGGGUCAUUUCCUUUAUUCUCCUGGCCUUAAGAACGCCCUUGUCAGGCUGGAAGCACCUUCAGAAGUUGCUGCUUGCAAACUCUAGAUGCCCCAGGCUUUGCAGGCUAUUGAGGUGCCAGAGGAGUAAUGACCAGGUUCAACUCCAGCGGCUGCUUAGUUUCUGUGCUAUUCAAAGGAACAGGAACCGCCAAUACCAUAAAGCAAGGCUCAAACCAGAGAAGAAAUACCACAGAGAAGGCAAAUGGCCCCAGGAGAAGGCCUCGCUGCCCUGAGGUAGCCAGCUGGAGUCUGACCACCUUCCUCUUUUCCUAUCUUCUGCUCUCAACCUUGGGCUGGUCUUGGCUCUCAUGUCCUUUGGGGACCUCUUCUGGCCUCUCCAGACUUACUUAGAUCAGGACUUGAAGGUGCAACCAAAAUACCCAUCAAUCUCUGUGCUGAGGCUACUAGACACUUGGCCAGCAAGCAAGCCACGUCCGACUCCUCAGCGUGGGCUCCAGAAUUGGUUUCAAAAAUCAAUAUCCUUCUAGGAAUGGGCACCAGGGGCUGGAUGCGGUCAUCACAGCACAGGCCAUUUGGGGUGUCCGGCGCUAUGAAACAACGAUGAAGAAGAUGACCGGCUAGGCAGGGUUCGGGACAGCUGACACCAGAGCAUGCUUGGAAAGACCAAGCCAGUUACAAGGUGUACCCAAUCAGGAGGCUCCAAAAUGUGACACGGAUUUGCGUUUUCUUUUGAUUCCUUCCUGGUGGUUUUACGUAAGAGGCAGCGCGUUGGGGCCAGGAAGGGACGGAACCAUGGGGCUGGGUUUACACCAGCUAUGCGAAGCCCCUCCGCUCUGCCCCCGCCUGCGAGGGGCUUUCUUGGCUGGCUGCAGAGGCGGGCCGGGUUCUGUCGGUGCCAAGUCCCUCAGAGCGGGCACUGUGGGGACACGGGAGGCACAAGAAGGCUGCAGAGGAGGCAGAAGACAGUUGGCAGCGCUGCGGCACAGAGGACAGCCUGGGAGCGGGCGGAUGUAGCCAAGGCCAGCACGGAACAGGAUGGCCCUGCAAAGGAUAAUAUCUUCGGUGAGGUCGGAGGAGAGACAGCAAGCACAGUCACUUGGAGUUUUGAUAUGAAGUUGACACAGGCUGAGAAAGAAGAGCCAAGAAGCCACGUCGCCUGGAGUAAACCCAGCUCCUAUCUGCCAGACCCAAGGGGGGAAUCUCAGAUUCCCCAGCUCCUGCCCAGCUCCUGCCCAGCUUCUGUGGGGCUGAAGUUCACUUAGAGCUGCAGGCCACAAGCCCAGGCCAUCCCAAGCAGGCCUCAUGACAAUGUAUAUGUUUCUGAGAAAUCCUCUUUUGGGGAGAGCAGGACUUAGCCUGCAUAGACUAAGGAUCCCCUGAUAGGCAAGGAAACAGCAGCCAGUCACUUGUAGGUUAGGUCCCAGGAGUGUCCAGUCCCCAUGCUGGCCCUGUCCAAGUUCCAGGAAGGGACUUUCACCCAGAAAUAGCUGAAGACUAUGACAACCUUCCCAACACACUUGUUUAUGAUUUGACUUAAUUAUUUUUCUAUUUAUCUCUAUUUCUGAAUCUCUCCCUUUGGGUUUCCUGAGCUGGAUGCCCUCUCCUUUUUGGGUAGGAUGCAUGGCCACCAUGGCUGCAGAUGCAUCGUAAGGAACCCUCAGAGGUGGUGGGAUUCUGCAACUGGGGGAGCCUGGAGCCUGGGGGGUGCUCCACCAGCUCAGCCACACAUGUGGUUGUUCCACCCACUCAGCCCCCACCUUGUUCCAACUGGAGCCUGACGUCUCCCCAACCACAUCUGACCAUGUCACUCCUCCAAGACCUCACCCAGAUCUCUACCACCACCUGGCCCUCUGACAAAAGGGGAUGGGCUGGCAUUGUCCAUCUAGCCUAGGCUACAUUUCCCAGUCUUCUUCCCCCGGGUUUCCAGCCUGGACCAUGUGGGAAAGUCCCAUGGAACUGGAAGGAGAUGUUCUUCUAUAGUCCCUGCCUCUGUACUGCUGCAUUCCACUUUUGUGACUUUUUGGCUUCUCAGAGUCAGGUUACCAUCCUUAUGAGGUCACGGGCACAACUAUGAAGUACCUCCCACCUGUGCUUCGGGGCCAGCCCUCCCUCAUAGAUGCCUCUCUCAUGCACUUUGAAGCGACUCCAGCACUGACCACACAGCAGGAUCUGGAUGCCCAGACCUAGUGUGCGCAGUGCCUGCCACACACCCAUGACAGUGUUACAGUUGGGUAUGAAGUGUCCUCGAGAAGGGCCCUGUGUUGUAGGCUUGCUUCCAACCCAGCAGCAUUCAGAGAUGGAGCCUCUGGGAGGUGAUCUGUCACCAAGGCUGAUGCAGAAUCAGGAAGCAGUGGGAAGCAGGAAGUGGGAAGCAGGAAGUGGGAAGCAGGAAGUGGGACGUGGAUGGAGGAAGUAUGGAACUGGAAGCACGGCUUUCCCCCUGCUGCCUCCUCUCGUCUCCCUCUGCCUCUUGCACCCUGAGAAAUAAGCACCUUUUCUCUGCCUCACGGUCCUGGCAGGAUUCUCUGUCAGACUCCUCGUGCCCACAGACCGCAGACCAGAGCCUCAGAAACCAUGAGCCAAAAUAAAUCUUUUUAAUUUUAAAA